CAAUAGAAGUUUAUGAUUUAGAAUAAAAAACACGCACAAGUAAAAAUGAAUCGUGUUAAUCUCUGGCAGUAAAAUAUUUAUCCCAUGAUGCAACACACACGAGUUUAGCGGGAAGUCUGAUAGCCAUGUUUGAAUUCACCGGAUGUUUAUUUCCAGAAGAAAAGUAUAAACAAACACGACGAUAGCCUAAAAACGAAGUUUGUUUCCCGUCUUACUGAAGAAGAUCGACUUACUUCAAGUUACCGACGAAUGAAUAUCAGCUUUCUCGUUGUUUUUGACGACCGAUGCAUAUUUUUACCGACAAACAUCGUUACGAGACAGGGGUUUUGAUGAUUAAUUUAUCACAGAUUACACGGCCGAAGGAAACGCAGUACCGAUCCAUGUGUUACAAUCAGACUGAGUCUGCAUGCAGUACAUUCUGGAAUGAGGAACACCGCAUGCAUUGUGGUCCAAAUUGAUGGCAUUGACUUAACACAAAGCAGAAAGGAAUGAAGAGAAAUUAAGAAGUUUAUGUUUCACAUUAAUUAAGAUUAUUCGAGAUAUGUUAUCUGUCGAGGUAUACAACAUUUCCUUUCAUAAUAAAAAUGUAAACAUUAAUAUAUAUAUAAAAAAAAAUCAUGUAUAUAAUCUAAAAAUCCUUGUUAGUUAUUUGUUGUACUAGCAAAAAAUAUAAUAUAGUCGUCUCAAGCUUGGUUGUAUUGAAAUCCCCGGGGACAGUGACAGAGAUAUAUCACUACAGUACGUGCUACAUCAAACAACACACCAUUGUUCAAAUUGUCAAUCAACAUUAAUAUAUUUCAUUUAGUCAGUAUUUAGAAUUGAUUCCAAAAUUAUGAUAAUCUUUUCACAGUUUAUUAGAAAUAAUGUUAAAUUCGAUAGAAGUCUUCGACUGUUGCUUGUUUUUGUUUAUUUUAAGUUCAUGGACACACAUGAAAACAGUUUCCAGUACAUCUGGGCUACUUCGAGGAAACUACAUAUACUGUCUGAAAUCAGUCUUGUGCGUCGGUGACAAAAUGUAUACAUAUCCUACUUUAACUCUGCUGGAAAAUAUUAUUUUGUACUAUUUUCCUACUAUUUUAGA